CGGUGGUGAAGUGGAUUCUAGUUUUAUCUGUAUUAAUCCAUUUCUUCGUGACCGUCAUUUUCCAACAUGUUAAAUUGUGCUACACACUAUGGGACUAUAUUGGCAUUUCAGUUUUUCCUUGUAGAGUAUUUUUGGACAUAAUAACAGACACAAACGAGUUGAAUACAAGAGAAUAUUGAAUAAAUAACCGUUAAAUUGAUCAUAGAAAGACAGAUAAUCAGGUCACGACUCGUCUUCCAUAGAAAAUCGCCCUACAGAACUAUGUGGAGAGGCUGGUUAUCAGUUUUAACCAUUGUACAACUGUUUUAUGGAAUAUUGUCUGUUAUUACAGAAAAUUGCUGUUACAACUCAGAAGAUUAUGAAGCAAUCGACAGUAUUAACACUAAGGCAACAUUUCUCACCAUUGACCUUUAUGACAACUCGACAAAAUGGGAUUUACAGGUCAAUAUAUCUUGGACGCCGGUCGAAGGUUA